UGCUUGAGCAUGGUUAUUACAUAUUUCUGUUGAAUUUUUUUGGGGAGAUUAACGCUUGGUUUUUUGUUUUGUCUGUAAUUUUAUGAACAGUUUACAUUUUACAAUUAGUCACCGUAUACAGACGUGUUUUGCACACAGUUAGGCUUGUUUCUUUUCAUGGUUAUCCUUUUCUGUUUGCACUUACAAACAGAGGGAUUAAACAUAAAAAAUGACUGCCAAAAUCAGGGAC
rnacentral:lncRNA from 1 species